UACAGAGGUCCCGAGCGUUGUUCGGAUUCACUGGGCGUAAAGGGUGCGUAGGUGGCUUGACAAGUUUGAUGUGAAAGCUCAGGGCUUAACCCUGAAAUGGCAUUGAAUACUGUCGGGCUGGAGGUUUGGAGGGGGGACUGGAAUUCUUGGUGUAGCAGUGAAAUGCGUAGAUAUCAAGAGGAACACCAGUGGCGAAGGCGAGUCCCUGGACAACACCUGACACUGAGGCACGAAAGCUAGGGGAACAAACAGG
rnacentral:rRNA from 1 species